UACAGAGGGGGCGAGCGUUAUUCGGAAUUAUUGGGCGUAAAGGGCGCGUAGGCGGCUUGGCAAGUGGAAGGUGAAAUCCCUCGGCUUAACCGAGGAACUGCCUUCCAAACUGCUUUGCUUGAGUCCGGGAGAGGUGAGUGGAAUUCCCAGUGUAGCGGUGAAAUGCGUAGAUAUUGGGAAGAACACCGGUGGCGAAGGCGGCUCACUGGCCCGUUUCUGACGCUCAGGCGCGACAGCGUGGGGAUCAAACAGG
rnacentral:rRNA from 1 species